GACGAACGCUGGCGGCGUGCUUAACACAUGCAAGUCGAACGAUGAAGAAGAGAAACGCGAACUUCGGUUCAAAUUUCACUUCGGAUUAGUGGCAGACGGGUGAGUAACGCGUGAGCAACCUACCUCUUACAAAGGGAUAGCCUCGGGAAACCGUGAUUAAUACCAUAUGACACAUUCAUAAGGCAUCUUAAGAAUGUUAAAGCUACGGCGGUAAGAGAUGGGCUCGCGUCCCAUUAGCUAGUUGGUGAGGUAACGGCCCACCAAGGCGACGAUGGGUAACCGGCCUGAGAGGGUGAACGGUCACAUUGGAACUGAGACACGGUCCAAACUCCUACGGGAGGCAGCAGUGGGGAAUAUUGCACAAUGGAGGGAACUCUGAUGCAGCGACGCCUCGUGAGCGAUGAAGGAAUUCGUUUCGUAAAGCUCUGUUCUAUGGGAAGAAAAGGACUGUACCAUAGGAGAAAGCCCCGGCUAAAUACGUG
rnacentral:rRNA from 1 species